GAUCUCACAAAGCUUCGGCUGGACAUAUAUUAGAAUUGGAACGAUACAGAGAAGAUUAGCAUGGCCCUGCGCAAGAUCUCACAAAGGACCAGUAAAGUUUUCUCCAGAUUU